CAGUAGCGUAUAUUAAAGUUGUUGCAGUUAAAAAGCUCGUAGUUGGAUUUCGGGGUGGCCUGGCUGGUCCGCCGCAAGGUGAGUACUGGUCAGCCGCCCUUCCUCUCGAAAGCCCCGACUGCUCUUUACUGCAGUGGUCGGGUAGUUCGGGACGUUUACUUUGAAAAAAUUAGAGUGUUCAAGGCAGGCUAUCGCCUGAAUACAUUAGCAUGGAAUAAUGGAAGAGGACCUCGGUCCUAUUUUGUUGGUUUCUAGGGCCGAAGUAAUGAUUAAGAGGGACAGUUGGGGGCAUUCGUAUUUCAUUGUCAGAGGUGAAAUUCUUGGAUUUAUGAAAGACGAACUACUGCGAAAGCAUUUGCCAAGGAUGUUUUCAUUAA
rnacentral:rRNA from 1 species